AUUGAACGCUGGCGGCAUGCCUUACACAUGCAAGUCGAACGGCAGCACGGGAGCAAUCCUGGUGGCGAGUGGCGAACGGGUGAGUAAUAUAUCGGAACGUGCCCAGUCGUGGGGAUAACGUAGGCGAAAGCUACGCUAAUACCGCAUACGAUCUAUGGAUGAAAGCGGGGGAUCGCAAGACCUCGCGCGAUUGGAGCGGCCGAUAUCAGAUUAGGUAGUUGGUGAGGUAAAGGACUCACCAAGCCGACGAUCUGUAGCUGGUCUGAGAGGACGACCAGCCACACUGGGACUGAGACACGGCCCAGACUCCUACGGGAGGCAGCGAGUGGGGAAUUUUGGACAAUGGGCGCAAGCCUGAUCCAGCAAUGCCGCGUGCAGGAUGAAGGACCUCGGUUGUAACG
rnacentral:rRNA from 1 species